CCUACGGGCGGCAGCAGUGGGGGAUAUUGCACAAUGGGGGGAACCCUGAUGCAGCGACGCCGCGUGGGUGAAGAAGCGCCUCGGCGCGUAAAGCCCUGUCAGCAGGGAAGAAAAUGACGGUACCUGAAGAAGAAGCCCCGGCUAACUACGUGCCAGCAGCCGCGGGAAUACGUAGGGGGCAAGCGUUAUCCGGAUUUACUGGGUGUAAAGGGGGCGCAGACGGCGAUGCAAGCCAGGCGUGAAAGCCCGGGGCCCAACCCCGGGACUGCUCUUGGAACUGCGUGGCUGGAGUGCAGGAGGGGCAGGCGGAAUUCCUGGGGUAGCGGUGAAAUGCGUAGAUAUCAGGAGGAACACCGGUGGCGAAGGCGGCCUGCUGGACUGCAACUGACGUUGAGGCCCGAAAGCGUGGGGAGCAAACAGGAUUAGAUACCCCGGUAGUC
rnacentral:rRNA from 1 species